GGGAGGGUCCAGCCCAGCGGUGGGGUGCGUGCUUCGCAUGCACGAGGUCCUGGGUUCAAUCCCCAGCCCCGCCA